rnacentral:rRNA from 1 species
UGCAAGUCGAACGAACUCUGGUAUUGAUUGGUGCUUGCAUCAUGAUUUACAUUUGAGUGAGUGGCGAACUGGUGAGUAACACGUGGGAAACCUGCCCAGAAGCGGGGGAUAACACCUGGAAACAGAUGCUAAUACCGCAUAACAACUUGGACCGCAUGGUCCGAGUUUGAAAGAUGGCUUCGGCUAUCACUUUUGGAUGGUCCCGCGGCGUAUUAGCUAGAUGGUGGGGUAACGGCUCACCAUGGCAAUGAUACGUAGCCGACCUGAGAGGGUAAUCGGCCACAUUGGGACUGAGACACGGCCCAAACUCCUACGGGAGGCAGCAGUAGGGAAUCUUCCACAAUGGACGAAAGUCUGAUGGAGCAACGCCGCGUGAGUGAAGAAGGGUUUCGGCUCGUAAAACUCUGUUGUUAAAGAAGAACAUAUCUGAGAGUAACUGUUCAGGUAUUGACGGUAUUUAACCAGAAAGCCACGGCUAACUACGUGCCAGCAGCCGCGGUAAACGUAGGUGGCAGCGUUCCGGUUUAUUGGGCGUAAAGCGAGCGCAGGCGGUUUUUUUAAGUCUGAUGUGAAAGCCUUCGGGCUCAACCGAAGAAGUGCAUCGGAAACUGGGAAACUUGAGUGCAGAAGAGGACAGUGGAAACUCCAUGUGUAGCGGUGAAAUGCGUAGAUAUAUGGAAGAACACCAGUGGCGAAGGCGGCUGUCUGGUCUGUAACUGACGCUGAGGCUCGAAAGUAUGGGUAGCAAACAGGAUUAGAUACCCUGGUAGUCCAUACCGUAAACGAUGAAUGCUAAGUGUUGGAGGGUUUCCGGCCCUUCAGUGCUGCAGCUAACGCAUUAAGCAUUCCGCCUGGGGAGUACCCGCAAGGCUGAAACUCAAAGGAAUUGACGGGGGCCCGCACAAGGGUGAGCUGUGGUUUAAUUCGAAGCUACGCGAAGAACCUUACCAGGUCUUGACAUACUAUGCAAAUCUAAGAGAUUAGACGUUCCCUUCGGGGACAUGGAUACAGGUGGUGCAUGGUUGUCGUCAGCUCGUGUCGUGAGAUGUUGGGUUAAGUCCCGCAACGAGCGCAACCCUUAUUAUCAGUUGCCAGCAUUAAGUUGGGCACUCUGGUGAGACUGCCGGUGACAAACCGGAGGAAGGUGGGGAUGACGUCAAAUCAUCAUGCCCCUUAUGACCUGGGCUACACACGUGCUACAAUGGAUGGUACAACGAGUUGCGAACUCGCGAGAGUAAGCUAAUCUCUUAAAGCCAUUCUCAGUUCGGAUUGUAGGCUGCAACUCGCCUACAUGAAGUCGGAAUCGCUAGUAAUCGCGGAUCAGCAUGCCGCGGUGAAUACGUUCCCGGGCCUUGUACACACCGCCCGUCACACCAUGAGAGUUUGUAACACCCAAAGUCGGUGGGGUAACCUUUUU